rnacentral:rRNA from 1 species
UACGGAGGGUGCGAGCGUUAAUCGGAAUUACUGGGCGUAAAGCGCACGCAGGCGGUCUGUUAAGCAAGAUGUGAAAGCCCCGGGCUCAACCUGGGAACUGCAUUUUGAACUUGGCAGGCUAGAGUCUUGGAGAGGGGAGGUGGAAUUCCAGGUGUAGCGGUGAAAUGCGUAGAAGAUCUGGAGGAACAUCAGUGGGCAGAAGGCGGCUCCCUGGCCAAAGACCUGGACAGCUCAUGUGCGAAAGUGUGGGUAGCGAAACAGGAUUAGAUACCCCCGUAGUCC